rnacentral:rRNA from 1 species
GACGAACGCUGGCGGCGUGCUUAACACAUGCAAGUCGAGCGGUAAGGCCCUUUCGGGGGUACACGAGCGGCGAACGGGUGAGUAACACGUGGGUGACCUGCCCUCAGCUCUGGGAUAAGCCUGGGAAACUGGGUCUAAUACUGGAUAUGACUCCACGGUGCAUGUCGUGGGGUGGAAAGCCUUGUGCGGCUGAGGAUGGGCCCGCGGCCUAUCAGCUUGUUGGUGGGGUGANGGCCUACCAAGGCGACGACGGGUAGCCGGCCUGAGAGGGCGACCGGCCACACUGGGACUGAGACACGGCCCAGACUCCUACGGGAGGCAGCAGUGGGGAAUCUUGCGCAAUGGGCGAAAGCCUGACGCAGCGACGCCGCGUGAGGGAUGACGGCCUGGUGUAACGUAC